AGCAGAGUAGGAUUUUGCGCGUUGUAGUGCCUUCUGAACGGGGAGUUGUCGGAGGGACGAAAAGCCCAUUGGCUUGCGGUGCAAAGUUCGCAUCCCGCAGCU
rnacentral:ncRNA from 1 species